GACGAACGCUGGCGGCGUGCUUAACACAUGCAAGUCGAACGGAAAGGCCCUGCUUUUGUGGGGUGCUCGAGUGGCGAACGGGUGAGUAACACGUGAGUAACCUGCCCUUGACUUUGGGAUAACUUCAGGAAACUGGGGCUAAUACCGGAUAGGAGCUCCUGCUGCAUGGUGGGGGUUGGAAAGUUUCGGCGGUUGGGGAUGGACGCGCGGCUUAUCAGCUUGUUGGCGGGGUAGUGGCUUACCAAGGCUUUGACGGGUAGCCGGCCUGGGGGGGUAACCGGCCACCUUGAGACUUCGAUACGGCCCAGGGUCCUCCGGGCGGCAGAAGAUGCGUAUAUUGCGGCAUGGGCGGAAGCCUGUUGCAGCUAGGCCGCGUGCAUGAUGACGGCCUUCGGGUUGUAAGCCGCUUCCGCCUGUAACGAAGCGUGAGUGACGGUAAUGGAUAAAGAAGCACCGGCUAACUACGUGCCAGCCGCCGCCGUAAUAC
rnacentral:rRNA from 1 species